rnacentral:rRNA from 1 species
GACGAACGCUGGCGGCGUGCUUAACACGUGCAAGUCGAACGGUAAGGCCCUUCGGGGUACACGAGUGGCGAACGGGUGAGUAACACGUGGGUGAUCUGCCCUGCACUUCGGGAUAAGCCUGGGAAACUGGGUCUAAUACCGGAUAGGACUCCGGACUGCAUGGUCUGGGGUGGAAAGCUUUUGCGGUGUGGGAUGGGCCCGCGGCCUAUCAGCUUGUUGGUGGGGUGAUGGCCUACCAAGGCGACGACGGGUAGCCGGCCUGAGAGGGUGACCGGCCACACUGGGACUAAGAUACGGCCCAGACUCCUACGGGAGGCAGCAGUGGGGAAUAUUGCACAAUGGGCGCAAGCCUGAUGCAGCGACGCCGCGUGAGGGAUGACGGCCUUCGGGUUGUAAACCUCUUUCAGCAUCGACGAAGCGAAAGUGACGGUAGGUGCAGAAGAAGGACCGGCCAACUACGUGCCAGCAGCCGCCGUAA